GACAAACAGAUGUAUCCAAAAAUAACACCAGUGAACUGAAGGCCAUGAGUGCAAAGCAUCUCACAAAGAUUUGACCUGAGAGGAAAUCGAUGAAAUCUUGGCUCUUUCUCUUUCUUUCCUCUGGAUUCUAGUCUCUGUACACUGCAGUGAGGUAUUGUUAAACCCUUUGGUCAAGGUGGGUAUCUGGUGGUUUUUAGUAUACAAAUGGCAUUGCUGCCUCUGGUCACCGUUUUCUGGGACUGAAAGUAGCCUUUGUAAUGCACCAGUUGCCUCUCUGCAGGGCUUUCUGUUGAAGCCCUUUGUCAUCAACCCCUUGCAACCUGUUAGAUCAGCACCCCUGCAGGGAAGCUGGUUUGCUCUCCAAGACCAACUUGGCAGUAAGUAUCCAAUAUCUUUCUCCACUGCUGCUGCACAGAGAAAUCCCAACUUUUCAUUUUAUUUUAAUGUAGACCCUAACAUUCCUGCCUCCCAAUUGUGAGCUAAACCCAUGGAUGCUCACUUAGAGCUUUGUAGGACUAGGUUAUGAAACACAGCUUUCCUUUCUGCUGGUGAGAUCUACUCUGUCAGUAUGUGUUUGAGGCUCCUUCCCUGAAACAAGACACAAACAUGCUGGUUCAUGUUGCACUUGCGCUUUAAGAGUUCUUUCUUUGUGUUGAUUGCAUAUGUGAGGAAACCAUGAGGAUAUAUGGGAGAAAGGUUAAGGGCGCUUUCCCCUGAAGUAAGUAUCCUGCAGAUGAGGCAUGCAAGAGCACUGCAGAGAUGAAGAUGUGUGCUCUGGAGUGCCCGGAAGGAAGCUGUGCAGGGCAGGAGAGCAUCGCUGGUGAUGGAAAGAGUCCCGCUCCAAACUGUGAUGCUAUCAACUUCAUGAAGAACCUGACCUGCUCAGGGACAGUGAGAUGUGUUAGAACUGUCAUACCCACACUCUGAAUGCUACAGUAUGCACCCAAAUAAAGGCCUAUAGUUUGAUGGAUGUGAGGAAAGCAUUGGGGACUGAUGUAAUUCUCUUGGGUGUUCUGUAUGAGUAUCCUUGGGUUUGAAACACUGGUAUAUUCGACUCUUGGCCUGUGCUGCCAUUCUACUCCAUUUGGUUCAUACAAGUUAGUCAUUCAACUGAACGAUUUUCCUAAUGUAUUGUUUGCCAGUUUCUGAAAAGUAAAAGAAUCUUUCAAUCUC
rnacentral:lncRNA from 1 species